UUGGCUUUUGUGAAAAACUCCACUAUUGGCCUUUUACAGAAAUUUCUUUCCUUUUUUUUCGGUUUAAGGAUGUAAUCUUAAUUGUAAGGAUUUAAAGAAUGUUCAAGUUAUAUUUAGCCCUAUAUUUUAAAAUAAUCGAUUAAUAUUUUGAGAUUCCAUUCACCGCUUUCGUCAGAGAAUCUGGAAUAUUACACAAACAGAUCCAUUUUCGUGAUCUUUCUUGUCGGUUGCCAAACGUGAAGAUGACCAGAGGAGAACUUUCGUGGCUCAUCAAAGGUUUGAUAAACGAAGAGAAAUUGAACAAAGGCCUGACCUUGGACCGUUGUAUGAGGGCAUCACUGCAAAACCACCCACAUAUGUAGUUUUAGGUCAUACCCAUCAUUUUGACGGUAAAGAUAUAGGUUCAGUAUGGUGAGCUCCAAGAGACGAGCAUUUCAGAGUUGCGCCAUAUUUAGUAAACAAAUCGGUGUUCUAGUCAUUUUGUUGAGUAUUAAUUUCUGAUUUGUCGUAAUGGCAGAAUCCGAUUGGUAACACAUAUGAAGCUUCGUCUUAGGUGAUAAUCCGAGUGACCCUAGAGUAAAGGCUUGGAGCCUUGGAGAUAAUACUCUGUGAUCUAUCAGAGAAAAACCCUAAUUUGAUGGAUUCGACUAACAGUUUGAAGAUAUGACUAACAGUUCGUCUUGGGCGCACACCCAAAUCCCAACGACAAUGAAAAGAGGGUAACAAUUCUUUGUUUGAUUCGAAUUUGGAAAAAUAUCCAUGUUCAGAAUUACAAAUACAUCUUGUACCAGAAGUUCGGGAACUAUUCUAAAACGGUUUUGCAUCUCAAUGCCGAAAACCUGUUUUCGUUUUGCUUUACUUUAAUGUACUCUUGUUUUUCUAUUGCCUUUAUUCUUCAGAGUUUAGUGUCAGAAUCAAAUUUGAAACAUUAACUCUGGAAAAAAAAAAAAAAUUGAUAGAUUACCUAUUGCUUCAAUCUCCAUGCUAACGUUUCUCGCGAAUCCAAAAACAGUUUUGAAUAUGAAUUUAUAACACUACAUCUUGAACUAUUAUAUCCAUUCAGAAUCGUUGUUUGCACUAUUUUUAUUGAGUUUUCUUGUAGAUUUUGAUCAAGAAUCAAGGAUACUGACAUAAGCGUUCCAAUUGGGCUUGGUAUGAUGCUAACGUCUUAUUCUGGCUUUGUAAAAAGGCAAGAGAGCAAGUACUGUUUAGAAGUUGUUUCGUAGCUUUGUGGCUCCUCGAAUAGCUUGUUUUACCACAGACACAAAUGGACUGCGUGUGUUCGUGGGAGGAGUGGUGAUAAAAGAUGCUUGUUUUCACAGUUUCAAUAACCCCCACAAGGGAUGUGGAGUCGCUGCCAUUUGAGUAAUCAGAAGCUGGGUGGGGUGAAUUUGAAAUGGCCUCUUUAUUUUCGCAACGAUGUUUGUGAUGAGCCAUUGAACUUGAAAUGAAAGCACGUACGUGGUGUGGAUGAUUUUAAUACAUGCGAAUUCUGAAUCCUCUUUUCCAUCCAAGAGUGUCAUGUAUACUAAGGUGAGUCAAUGCAAAAGAAAUAAAUGCAUUCCAUACCAUUAAGUGGAAAACUAUAGAACAUAAUCUGGAUUAUGCUGCAUCACUUAUUCUGCUGGAUCUUCAGGAGCAUGCUCAUGCUCAGAUUAGGUGAAUCUGAUUCUAGAAACGGUUCUCUCCAAGAAACAGCACAUCCUCUAUAUGUGGUUUCUGCAGUUGUCAGAACAAGAAGCAUAUCAGGUUGUUCCAGAAGGUAUUGUUUUACAAUUUGAUGGGCUUAGGGAUGCUUGAAGGGAUUUAACCUGUAUCGAUUAGUAUUUAUGACUCAGGAAGACCAAUGUAACUAUUUAACUAGUUUGAAUGAAAUAUUUGUGUUUGUGUUAA